CUGUAGUUAGAUGCAUCAUUUAUGUCACUAUAUCCUUUUCAGGAUAUCUGGAAAAGCAUCCUGAUCAAAUCAGAUUUUGAUUAAUUUACUUAAAGGUAUGUUUAGUAUAUUUUUGAUCGCUUUAAGUAAUUUAAUGCUCUGAACACAACACUAGCUUUCUUGUUAGUGACAUCUAUGACAUCUCUGACUUCAAUGGAUGACACUGCAGAAAAAUUGAAAAUAUUUUGAGGUUUAUGUAUUUGUUGGAGGUUUUGGCAAUGAGGAAUCUCUCAACGUUAGAGGUUUGAGGUUUUUAUGGUCAAAACCCCUUUCCAUACGAAAUAAACGGCUGGAAUUAAGACUUUGAUUUAUAUAAAUGUCUCACAGUGUUGCAAUGUUGGUAUUACAUGUUAAGUACUUAGACAUAAAUUGUCUUUUAUAUGGAUAAGCACAAAGAGAGAACAGCAAAUAAUUAGUAAAUUUCUAACAUUGUAUUAAGAAUAACGCCGAAAAACUUUAUUUAGAACAACAACGAGGGCAGAAAAUACCCAUGUAUUUUAUAUUAUUUGCUUACCUGUUUUUCGUCGCGAUCCCCAUAGGACGGGAGGGGAAGCACUGCCUAAAGGGAGUGACAUCCUGCUUGUUUCUGGGUCUAAAAAAUGUAAAUUACAACCUUAAUAAAAAGUGAAUAACGUUACCCCUUUCUCUUAUAAAGCUUUCUCAAUGGCGUCUUUAUCCAGUUAUAAUGAAAUAAUAAUAACCGCUUACUCAGAGUCCUAAUAUUUCGAGCUUAAUUGACGCCCCUUUCGAAAAUUAUGCGGAGUCGAAACAAUAAAGAUACAAAAAUAAUAAGCGGCAGUAACCCAAGACGUGUCUCGGAUUAAGCUGUAAAUUAAAGAUCGUACAGAUAGGGUUACACUUGGCUUUUAUGAUAUUAAAGAGAGCUUAUGAUUGAAAAGCUUUCUGCGACACUAUAUUAUUGUAUAAAUCUAGUUUAGUUUUGGUUUAACAAAUAUAGAUUUUAACAAAAAUCAUUUAGUUAAAUUUAUUUUUAAGGUAUAAAUUCGCUAUAGGUUUGAAAGUCCGUGCAGCAAGGACCUCUAAUUUAAUAAAAAUCUCUUCUUCUGCUUUAAAAGGUCAC
rnacentral:lncRNA from 1 species